rnacentral:tRNA from 1 species
GGGCGAGUGGCGGAAGGGCAGACGCUACGGACUUAAAAUCCGUUGGGCCGUAAGGUCCGUGGGGGUUCGAUUCCCCCCUCGCCCA